rnacentral:rRNA from 1 species
GGUAGCAUAAUAAUUAGUUAUUUAAUUUGUAACUAGAAUGAAUGGUUUGACAAAAAGCUAACUUUUUUAGGUUUAAAUAAAGUUAAUAUAAAAAUAAAAAAGUUUUUUUAAAUUAGAAAGACGAUAAGACCCUAAAACCUUUAUAUAUAAUAUUUUACUGGGGUGGUAGUUUAUAAACACUCAUAAACAAUAAAAACUCAUUGAAUGAUUUCUACUAACUUUAUUAAAGACAAAAAGGUACUUUAGGGAUAACAGCAUAAUUUCUAUUUAGAGCCCUUAUCGACAUAGAAGAUUAUGACCUCGAUGUUGAAUUGAUAUUAUACUAUAGAGUAGAUUUAUAGUAGUG